UACAGAGGGGGCAAGCGUUGUUCGGAAUUACUGGGCGUAAAGGGCGCGUAGGCGGCCCGCUAAGUCGAACGUGAAAUCCCCGGGCUCAACCCGGGAACUGCGUCCGAUACUGGUGGGCUUGAAUCCGGGAGAGGGAUGCGGAAUUCCAGGUGUAGCGGUGAAAUGCGUAGAUAUCUGGAGGAACACCGGUGGCGAAGGCGGCAUCCUGGACCGAUAUUGACGCUGAUGCGCGAAAGCCAGGGGAGCAAACGGG
rnacentral:rRNA from 1 species